UACGUAGGGGGCAAGCGUUGUCCGGAAUCAUUGGGCGUAAGGCGCGUGUAGGCGGCCCGGUAAGUCCGCUGUGAAAGUCGGGGGCUCAACCCUCGAAUGCCGGUGGAUACUGUCGGGCUAGAGUGCGGAAGAGGCGAGUGGAAUUCCUGGUGUAGCGGUGAAAUGCGCAGAUAUCAGGAGGAACACCAAUUGCGAAGGCAGCUCGCUGGGACGUGACUGACGCUGAGACGCGAAAGCGUGGGGAGCAAACAGG
rnacentral:rRNA from 1 species